rnacentral:rRNA from 1 species
UACAGAGGUCUCAAGCGUUGUUCGGAUUCAUUGGGCGUAAAGGGUGCGUAGGUGGCGCCGUAAGUCAGGUGUGAAAUUUCGGAGCUUAACUCCGAAACUGCAUUUGAUACUGCGGUGCUUGAGGACUGGAGAGGAGACUGGAAUUUACGGUGUAGCAGUGAAAUGCGUAGAGAUCGUAAGGGAAGACCAGUGGCGAAGGCGGGUCUCUGGACAGUUCCUGACACUGAGGCACGAAGGCCAGGGGGAGCAAACGGG